rnacentral:rRNA from 1 species
UACGGAGGGGGCUAGCGUUGUUCGGAAUUACUGGGCGUAAAGCGCACGUAGGCGGCUUUGCAAGUCAGAGGUGAAAGCCCGGGGCUCAACCCCGGAAUUGCCUUUGAGACUGCAUCGCUAGAAUUGUGGAGAGGUGAGUGGAAUUCCGAGUGUAGAGGUGAAAUUCGUAGAUAUUCGGAAGAACACCAGUGGCGAAGGCGACUCACUGGACACAUAUUGACGCUGAGGUGCGAAAGCGUGGGGAGCAAACAGGA